GGGCAAGCAUCACCACAAUCCAUCCCCAUAACUCAUUUCACCUUGCAAAGCUGAAACAAAACUAUUAAACAAUAAUUCUCCAUGCUCCCCUCCCCCAGCCCCUACCAAUAUACUUUCUGUCUCUUUUGACUAACUACCUCAUCCAAGUGCGGUCCUACAGUAUUUGUCUUUUUGUGACUGGAUUAAUCCACUUAACCUAAUGUCCUCAAUGUUAAUGCAUGUUGUAGCAUGUUGCAGAAGUGUUUACCUUUUCAAGGCUGAAUAAUAUUCGAUUCACUGGAUCUACCACCUUUGGCUUAUCCAUUCAUCCAUUGAUGGACACUUGGGUUGCUUUUACAUUUUAGCUAUUGUGAAUAAUGCUGCUAUGAACAUGGGUGUACGAGCAUCUCUUUGAGAUCUUGCUUUAAAAUCUUUUCAGUAUAUAUACCCAGAAGAGAAAUGGAUGCAUCAUAUCAUAUUUUUACAUUUAAGUUUUCGAGAAAUGAUCAUAUUGUUUUUCACUGCAACUGUACCAUUUGGCAUUCACACUGACAAUAGAUAAGGGUUUCAAUUUCUCCACAUUCCUGCCAAUAAUUGCUAUUUUCUGUUUUUUUUGAUAGUAGCCAUCCUAAUGGGCAGGAGGGGCUAUCUCACUGUGGUUUUGUCUUGCAUUUCCUGUCCCUCCCCCUCCCUGGCUGGAGUCCAGAUCCUCUCCUGGUAGCUGCCCCCAAGUUCACAGUCAAGCACUCAGCUUCAGCUUUCCCAUCUGUGGCAUCUGAAUUAACCCAACCCCUCUUCACUCUGAACUUCUGAUACUCACUGGAUUCUGUCUCCCUCUUGGCCUCUCCCCUGUCCUUUGUUCCAUGUGUGUGUCUGCAUAUCUGGUGCCCACUCUUCCCCUGUGGUGUCUGAAACUCCCUCUGUCCACCUCCAUUGUGGACAUAGACACCCACCCCCUACAGGCCACUCCUUGCCUAACAGCUUGUCCUGCACCUCCCCCUGCCAUCACCUGGGCACACCCCCAAGGGGCUGCCUUCCCAGGUACUCAAUGGAAUCCAUUCACACCCCAGGCCUUGAGCCCUGCUCUGAGUGACACUGACAGGUAAUCAGAGGGCCCACUUUCUCUGGGUUGGUUCUUAGCUUCCUCCCCAUCUUUGAACUACACCUGACACUCUUUGUGCUCAGAGUCUUUAUUUUUAUUUUAUCUGAAGAGACUGCUCAGACUCUAUGGCUUAAAAAUGAAAACACUGUUGUGUACCUGCUGUAGACAGAAGCAUUGAAAGAGCAGACUCUGCAGAAACAUGUAGGAAUGUGUACUUUCUGAUGUCGUUAUUGGCAUUUGUAUCAGUUUCCAUGAAUGCACUUGGUUCCCUGGGCCAACAUCAAGGCGUCUUCAGGUCUCUGCUCUCCCUGGAGGCUCUGAGGGAGAAGCAUUCUCUUGACUUCUAGCUGCAGGAGACUGCCCUCAUUUCUUGCAUCAUGGCAGCGUCACAUGCCUUUCCUCCCCCUGCUUCUAUCCUGACAUCUCUUCUUACUCAGGCUUUCUGCCCAUCUUUUAGAAGUACCCUGGGAUUGCAUUUAGGAUGAUCCAGAAUAUUCUCACCAUCUCAGAUCCUUAAAUUCAUCAUAUUUGCAAAGUCCCUUUUGCCAUAGCAAGUGACAAUCACAGGUUCCAGGAAUGAGACUCUGGAUACCUUUGGCAGCCAUUAUUCAGCCUACAAAGUAUGAAAAGAACUUCAAAAUGUUCAGAAUUUAUAUUAAAAAGCUUUUUCAGAAACCAUCCUUUUCAAAACCUGUUUGUUUGAUUGUGGUAAAGUGCUGUCUCCUUAUUUGUACCUCUUUACGCUGCCCCAGUACUCACUGUGGGAAAGUCCCUGCUGCCUCUCACCGCCAAACAUUUGCACUGUUGGUGUCACACCUGCUAGCCUGGUUGGAGGUGGUGCCUGUGGAUGGCCCAUGGUGCUGGGCGCCUUGCCACAAACUCAUUGGAUAACAGCACUUCUGCUGUGUGAGAUGAGCAGAUAUCAUAUCCUUUACUUCUUUCAUGUCUGACUCCCCAGGGAUGAAGUCAUAACUGGGACUGAAGUAGAAAGACACACUCAGUGUAUUUUCCAAAAAAUUUGGUUAUGUCAUGUGUAAAGGACAAGGCUGUAGCAGUUCUAGUGGAAAUUGUGGUUGCAUUUCUCAUGGAUGAGAUAAGGACUUCUCUAACAGACUAAUGAUAUGGCAAAAGAAAUAGUCCAUGCUGUUCUUAAACCAGAUCUCUAAUUUCUAAUCAACAGGCUGCCUGUAUUUGUAGUGGGCAAGAUGGUUCCGGUUCUCAUAACCGGUUGGUUGUGAAAUGUUAAAAAAUAUUGUCAUUUUUUUUUAAAGCUCAUGUGUUGAAAACCAACAGCAAUGAUUGUGGUUUGAUUACUGCUUCCAAACCGAGCAAGUUAUGCACAGCCCAAGAUCAUCCUGAAAUGUUUAAAAGACAAAAUCACAUCUGGAAAUAGUGUUUAGGGUUACACAACAUUGUGAAUGUAUUUAAUGCCAAUGAAUUCUGUGCUGAAAAAUGGUUAAAAUGGCCAUUUUUACUUAUAUGUAUUUUACUACAAUAAAAAAUAAAGGUAGAGAAAAAAAGGUAUGACCCCUCCUUACUGCAAUGGGCUUGAAACUUAUAACCUAACAGUGAAAUGUUCAAGAUAAGUUGGCAAUUGGAGUGUGAUAUGUGUUAACGGAAGUGCUUGAAUGUUUGAGAGUUGGGAAGCCACUGUAACCACAACAGAUGGGAUGAGGAGGAUGACAUGAGAGUGUAGGCAGGGCCCAGUUUUCAUACGACCAUGCUACUCAAAGGGUGAUCUGCAGGGAGCCCAGGAGCGUGGGCCAGAAAGUAGAUGAAGCACAUUGCUAAGUGCCCUGUUAAUUCCACCUGACAUUGUCUUCAUUGCAAGAAUUGCUUGACCAAACAACUGAGUUGACUGACCAUCCAGUGGAAAUUUCCUAUCUUGUUGCAGGCCAGCACUGAGACUUCUUGAGGUGUGAGCGCCCUAAUGGCUCUUAUCUGCUCGACCCGCAUCCACCAAAUUUGUGGCCUCUUUGGCUUCCAAGAUGCCGAUAGCAACAGCUUUCAUCUCAUGUGCAUAUUCCCAGACAACAGACUCAUAGAGAUGCCUGCAUCUUACAAUAAACCACAAAAAAAGAGACAAGGAACAAUACUAUCUCUGGGAGGAAAAGAACUUACAACCAAUGAGCACUCAACCAAAUCCUACAAUCACUAAGUCCAAGAAACUAGCUUCACCAAAUUUUUCUCCUGAUAAUCUAAAUAUAGAAAGGAAAAAAAGUCACCACUCUGUCUUCCAUUGGACCCCACAGUUAGAGAUCUGGGAGACUCACAUGGUAAGAAUUCUUACCCGCUUCCAGCUCUGUCAGGGAUCCAGGAUCUCUCAGUUGCAGCAGUCUAGGAGCAAGCAGCAUCCAGCCAAUGAAGUUUUAUCCUGUCCCUUAAUGGUUGGCAAACUGGAGUGGAGGAAGACAUUUCCUCUACCCACUCUAGGUCCUUCUGGUCAGGCUGUGAAUUAAAUUGACAUGAGACAGAAUAACAGGAGAAAAUCAAACAGAGCUUUAUAACAUAUAUACAUAGGAGAGACUCAGGAAAACUGAGCAACUUGGCAAAAUGGCAGAGGCUGUCAUCUUAAAUGCCAUCUUCAGCCAAAGACAAAGGAGGCUGUUGAGGAUGGGGGGGAGUCAAUUAUGGGAAAUUACCAGAAAAGCACAGUAAACAAGAGUAAGGUUAUUAUGCAGAUUUACGUCCUUGCCUUCUGCAAUGAUAAGAAUGUCUAGAGAUGAAGUCAUACCCCCUUCUUCAUGGUACAGAGAGGGAGAUACCUUUACAGAUGGAGAUUUCCCUUACAGAUCUAAAUGUCUCUUACAAAAGUUUAAAUUCGACUUUUCAGGGCUUCUCCAAUGUCUGCAGUUUUUAAAAGUAGCAAACCCAAAAUAAUUCUCCUGCCAAAGAGAUGCAAUUUUGGGUGGCCAAUUUUGAUCCCCCACACUCUCUAUCUUCUUUUAUCUUUUUAAAACUUUAUGGUCUCAAUUGUUUAAAAUUAAGAUCUUUUUUAAUAAUUAAAAUCAGAUGUUAUUAUUUUUCCAGCUUUAUUGUGAUACAACUACCUGCUUAUCUGACUCACACACCAAGCCACACAAUUUCCCCUGCCCUCAAUUGUCCAGGGGUCGAGUCCCAGGAAACUAGAGACUCCCUGUAACUCCAAGCCUCCAGGAUGAUGCAAUUAGACAAUAUUAAACUGUUUGCUCUGCCCUGCAAUGACACCUUUCUUGGAAAGCAAAAUAAAACCUCUGACUACUUCCUCUCCUCCCAAUGAUCUUCCACAACUUUCCCUAAACCUGGUCUUUCAGCUGGGUCCCUGUAUGGUGUGCGGUGUCCCUCCUAUCUAGAGGAGCUGUGAGUAUGUUUAAACAUUUUUUUAAUAGCAUUGGCCUUAUUAUGUUUUCCAAGGAUUUGAUAAUUUCAUUUAUAAAAAGCAUAUUUAUGUGAUUUGUAAAGUAUAUCAUCGAGACCUUUCUCCUGGAUAAGAUGAUGUUAUUUUCACAUGAGAAAUUAACCUAUCUCAAGAACGAUGUUCAUAACAGGUCAUUAAUGAUGUUCAUAAAACAGAUGUGCAUAUCUACAACUGAAAAUAUUCUUAUGUUUAUAAUGAAAAAAAUUGCCACUGUUAUUGAAAACCCAUUUGUGGUUAACUCUGCACAAAAUAUCACAUAUUAAUUUAAGAAGAAUAAGCUUCAAGAACCAAUUCGUACAAUUAUAGUUUAAGAGCUAAUGUUACACACGAGUUAAGAAAAGAAUCUGAAAAGUAUAUGGAAAAUUUGUACAAUGCAUAAAUGUACCAUAUUUUGCCUCCUAAAUGAUUCACAAUUGAAAUUAUCAAUGGAAUUAUCAUCACAAACUGAAAAUAUCUGUUAUUGGAAAUAUUUCCUCAAGAAGUUGCUUUUUUAUCUGCCAGUUUUGUGUUUUAUUUAAUCAGCAAUCUGCCUUUACCAUUUUAUCAAAUCUGCUUGCUUAAGAGGACGGAUUUGACACUGAGUAAAAGAAAGCAUUAUUAAGUAGAAUGUGGUCUAUGGCCCUUUCUGUGGUGAGGUCUGUUUGAGGUCAAGCCCAGGGUCUCUGCUCUGGACCCUCAAGGGGAUGGGUCAACAGGACGGAAUCCUGGAUGGGGGUGGGGAGGAGACCACUCUGGGGACUGGGUCAGCCUGCCCAGGGCCUUGAGCCUGGAUCUGGUUCAGAGAAUGGGGGAGGAGAGGCUCUAAGGGUAAAACUGUGGAGUUCAGAGUCCUGAGGGGCUUGGAGAACCUCCUGUCUCAGGAGGAGACUCUCCAGAGAGCCUGAGUCUCAUGGUGGGUGGUCUUAGGGGAGCAGUAUCUGACCUGAGGGGAGGUGUAGGGAUGGGCCCAGAGUAGAAAAGGAAGCCUAGAGGAUAAAUUGGGAGAAUGAAAGCACACAUAGGAAAGCUUCCAGAGGCUUGCUGAUGUCAUCUUUUUGGUCACUGGGACCACACUCUCCUGGUGACUCCCUGUGCUCCUGGUCAAGCCCUCAGCUCCAAACUCUGCCUACCUGGUAGCCACAGGCCCCCAAACCCUCCUCGCUUGCACUGGACUCCCAGGUCCCUCUAGAUUCUGUCUCCAUCGGGCCUGUCCCUCAUCCCUUAUUCUGUGUGGGUCUGCUUAUCUCAUGCCCCCUCCUAACCCAUAGUACCUAUGCCUCCCUCCUCUAUCUCCCUUGGGGACACACCCCUCACCCCCUACAGGCCACCCUUCACCCACUACUUCCCACUGCCUUCCCCUGUCUGCACCCACAGGGUGCUACCCUCCCAGAUACUCACUGGAAUUCAUUCAUUCCCAAGGCAUGGAGCCCUUCUCUGUGUGGCACUGACAGGUAAUCAGAGGACCCACUUCCCCUGAGUUGGUUCUGAGCACUCCCAUUCUUGAGGUACACCUGGCACUCUCUGUGCCUCAGUCUUUAUUUUUAUUUUAUCUGAAGUGGGUUGCUCAGACUCUCUUGCUUAAAAAUGAAAAUACUGUUGUGUGCCUGUUGUAGAUAGAAGCUUCGAAAGAGCAGUUUUUGCCUCUGUGUGGAAACAUGUAGGCAUGUGCACUUUCUGAUGUCCUUAUUGCCAUUUGUAGUAGCUUCCCAUGAAUGCACUGGGUUCGCUGGGUCAACAUCAAGGUGUCUAUGGGUUGCUACUAUCCCUGGAGGCUAUGGAGGAGGAUAUUCCUUGACUUCCAGGUUCCAGAGACUGUCCUCAUUCCUUGCAUCAUGGCAGCAUCAAAGGUUUCUCCUCCUCCUGCUUCCAUUCUGACAUCUCGUCUCACUCUGGCCUUCUGCCUGUCUCUUAGAAGGACCCUGGGGUUCCAUAUAGGAUGAUCCAGAAUAUUCUCUUCAAUUCAGAUCCUUAACUUCAUCACACCUGCAAAGUCCCUUGUGCCAUAUAAAGGGACAAUCUCAGAUUCCAGAGAUGAGACUCUGGAUAUAUUUGGUGGCCAUUAAUCUACCUACCAAGUAUAAAAAGAAGUUCAAAAUGUUCAGAAUGUAUAUUAAAAAGCUUUCUCAAAAACCAUGCUUUUCUUUUUUUUUUAAAGAUUUUAUUUAUUUAUUUUCCUUUUUCUCCCCAAAGCCCCCCGGUACACAGUUGUAUAUUCUUCAUUGUGGGUCCUUCUAGUUGUGGCAUGUGGGACACUGCCUCAGCAUGGUUUGGUUUGAUGAGCAGUGCCAUGUCCAUGCCCAGGAUUCGAACCAAUGAAACACUGGACCGCCUGCAACAGAGCAUGUGAACUUAACCACUCGGUCACGGGACCAGCCCCAAAACCAUGCUUUUCAAAACCUGUUUAUUUGAUAAUAAUAAAAUGCUGUUCCUUGCUCGUACCAUGUUAUACUGCCCCAGCACUCACUGUGAGAGCAUCUCUGCUGCCUCUCACUUCCAGGACAUUUGCACUGUUGGAGUCCCACCUGUUAUUCUGGUUGGAGGUUGCUGACUGGGUGGCUCAGAGUGCUGGGUGCUGUGGCACAGGCUCUUUGGACAGGAGCAUCUCUUUUGCCUGUGAUGAACAGAGGUCAUAUCCUUUACUUAUUUCAUGGCUGACGUUCCAGGGAUGAAGUCAUAACCAGGACUGAAGCAGAAGGAUACACUCAUUGCGUUUUCAUAGCAUGCAAUUAUUUCACAUGCAAAAGACAAGGCCAUGGCAGUUCCAGUGGAUAUUAUAGCUGUGUUUCUCAUGGAUGAGAUAAGGGCAUCUCUAACAGACUAAUGAUAUGGCCAAUGAUAUAAUAAAUGCUAUUCUUAAACUAAGUGUCUAAUUUCUAAUUGAGAAGUUGCCUGCACUUGUAGUGAGCAAGAUGGCUCCAGUUAUAUAACCAGCAGGUUGAGACAUGUUUAAAAACAUAAUCAUUUUUUAAAAAGAUAAACCAACAGCUACGAUUAUGGUUUUUUUACUGCUUACAAACUGAGCAUAUUGUCUACACACCAAGAUUGUUCUGGCAUGUUUAAAAGAUCAAAUCACGUCUGGAAAGAGAGAAAGUUUACCAUUCUACAACAUUGUAAAUGCACUUGAAGCCAGUGAAUUGUACACUGAAAAAUGGUUAACAUUAUUUAUGUGUACUUUUACCACAGUAAAAAAUAAAGUUAAGGGGCAAAAAAAGGAAUGUCCCCUCCUUAACGCAAUAGAUUUGAUACUUCCAACCUAAUAGAGACUAAAAGAUUCAAGAGAAGUUGGCAGUUGGAGUGUGAUGUGUGUUAAUGGAAGUUCAAGAAGACAAAGUCUAACACAAUCUGUAGAUUCAGGUGUAGCUGGGAAGACUGUGAAGGAAAUAACAGGAAUGCCCGUGGAUUCAGGGAAUCAUCACUUCCAGGUUCAAGGGAGGAGCUUGUGGCCAGGACUGGACCAGAGGCACUUGUGAAGCUGGCCAUGAGCUAGUUUCUGACUUGAGUGGUUACCCAGGUGUUAGCUGUUGUGUUUUGCUAAUUUCUG
ensembl:lncRNA